AACGCGAAGAACCUUACCAAGGCUUGACAUAUAGGGAAAGAGUGCAGAGAUGCACUCCCCGCAAGGUCUCUAUACAGGUGGUGCAUGGUUGUCGUCAGCUCGUGUCGUGAGAUGUUGGGUUAAGUCCCGCAACGAGCGCAACCCUCGUCCUAUGUUGCCAGCACGUAAUGGUGGGAACUCAUGGGAUACUGCCGGGGUCAACUCGGAGGAAGGUGGGGAUGACGUCAAAUCAUCAUGCCCCUUAUGUCUUGGGCUUCACGCAUGCUACAAUGGCCGGUACAGAGGGCAGCAAUACCGCAAGGUGGAGCGAAUCCCAAAAAGCCGGUCUCAGUUCGGAUUGAGGUCUGCAACUCGACCUCAUGAAGUUGGAGUCGCUAGUAAUCGUGGAUCAGCAACGCCACGGUGAAUACGUUCCCGGGCCUUGUACACACCG
rnacentral:rRNA from 1 species